UACGAAGGGGGCUAGCGUUGCUCGGAAUCACUGGGCGUAAAGCGCACGUAGGCGGCUUUUUAAGUCAGGGGUGAAAUCCUGGAGCUCAACUCCAGAACUGCCUUUGAUACUGGGAAGCUUGAGUCCGGAAGAGGUGAGUGGAACUCCGAGUGUAGAGGUGAAAUUCGUAGAUAUUGGGAGGAACACCAGUGGCGAAGACGGCUCACUGGACCGGUACUGACGCUGAUGCGCGAAAGCGUAGAGAGCAAACAGG
rnacentral:rRNA from 1 species